rfam:Picea glauca, whole genome shotgun sequence.
ACAUGCCUACAACAUAGUGUUAAUGCAUCGGAUCCCAUUAUAACUCUGCAGUUAAGCGCGCUCAAGCUACAGUAGCACUGGGAUGGGUGAUCGCCCAGGAAAUCCUAGUGUUUUACAUGCC